GUACCAUUUCUUUUUCGUCACUUUCCUAAUCCUGUGCCCUUGGUUUCAUGUGCUGUAAUUAUUAACAUCUGCUUUCUGAGCCCAGCACGCAUGGAGUUUGCAAAGGCAGUUCUGGGACCAGAACAAUAGUGACAGCUGUUUCAUUUAGCCUAGGGCCAGCACUUCCUGUUCAGACUACAUCUGCCCUUCUGUGUCCAAUUUCGGUUUUCAGGGUUUUGUGUUUUGUUUUCUAUUUUUUUCCCUUCAUCUGACCUUACUAUAUGUUUAAGAGGAAUUUCUAGCUUAGCACUGUUGCUAGGAUUUCUAGCACAUAUGCUUAUUCUGUUAGCAACAGGCAGAGACAGACAGAGAGUUGAGAAGACCCAGACUGUCCCCAGCAGCUAAGAGGGUAGAAGGAGGGGACAGGGUAAAGAAUUGACUAGGACCAUAGUAGCUACCCUGGAAAGGUUCCUAAGCCCUCAAAGUGACCUCUCUGGAAAUUAGGUACAGGAAAGAUGGACCUAGUCGAUCUGCCCUCCAGCAGAGGCUCAUCUCCUUGGCUUCUUUGGUGAGAGAAUCACCAGACCAUUCCUUCAAGGAAGACGUUCAGGGUGGCCUCUCACAUGCAGAGGCUCCUUCUCUUUGGGCAGCAAGCAAGCUGCUCAAAUAAGGCAAGAGGCAGAGAGAUCCAGCUUCCCUUUUCCCUUGGAGCCAACAGCUUCGUGCCUGAAACCCCCCGGUUCACUCAGGGAAGUCCGUAGGAUAGGUAAGACCGUAUGACAUGGUCAGAAUAAAGGAAUGUGGCCUUUCAUGAUAUUCACACAGCUACAUGUGAAUGUGGAAGACAAAGAAAAUGGGAACCACACCCUCUACUGCCCUUCCACCCACCCAGCUCUUCCUGGUCUAAUUCCAGAUGGCUCAUACCCAAAGUCUUCUGCCCGGCUGGCACAUAGAUGUCAAGUUGCUAGCCAGAGACCCCCAUCGCAAAUGCCAGGUUAGAUGUCCACAGGCCUUGCUGGAUAUUAAUCACUAUGGCAGGGCGAAAGCCUAACCUUCCCAUGGAUAAUCUUGUAUGAAGCUACAAGUGAUCCGUGGAUGCCCAAGUCCGAGAGUGAGAGUCUCGGGGUUCAGAGACAUGGUGACUCGAUGUCUGUGCAUUUUAUUGGAUCCAGGGAGGGCAAAGGCCCUGGAGUUCAGCACCCCUUCUUUUAGUUUCCUUAACAGGUGACAACAGUGGGCCCCAGAGAGAAGCAACUACUAGUCUACAGCUUCAGCUUGGCCAUACAAGACAGAGCCAGGUAGAGGGUAUUCACCCAGCAUGCCUCUCUCGUGCUUAGAUGUUGACACAGGGGAACUGAACUAAGGAGCAACCCAUUUCGCAGAUGAAGGUGUAGAGGCUGACUCAAAAAGACAAAGAUCCUGUCUUCAUGGGACCCAGCAAGGCUGCCUUGAAAGAAAUGCUCACAGGUCACCGUAAAACUCAAGGGAAGGACAAAAGAGACUGCAACGUGAGAUCAGCAUCUCAUUACUAAGCUGUGGUACAGAGCUCCCCAAUGUCCCCUUCAUGGUCUAGUGCUGCACAGCAUCAAUCAUAUCUCAGGCAAUGAACACCAUUCAUAUUUACUGCUGCACUGUUCAUAAUAGUUGAGAUCUGGGGCUAGCCCAGGGGUUCAUUACCAGAUGAAAGAAGAAAGAAAAUGCAGAAUGUUUGCAUGAUGACUGUACUGGCUGGUUUUGUGUGUCAACUCAACACAAGCUGGAAUUAUCACAGAGCCUUCCUUGAGGAAAUGCCUCCAUGAGACCCAGCUGUAAGGCAUUUUCUCAACUAGCGAUCAAGGGGAAGGGCCCAGCUUAUUGUGGGUGAUGCCAUCCCUGGGCUGGUGGUGCUGGGUUCUAUAAGAAAGCAAGUUGAGCAAUCCAAGGGAAGCAAGCCAGAAACAUCCUUUCAUGGCCUCUGCAUCAGCUCCAAGUUCCUGCCCUGUGUGAGUUCCUGUCUUGACUUCCUUUGGUGAUGAUCAACAAUGUAGAAGUAUAAGCUGAACAAACCCUUUUCUCGCCAGCUUGCUUCUUGGUCAUGGCGUUUUUUGCAGGAAUAGAAACCCUGAUUAAGACGAUGAGACUUUGCUCAUCUGCAACAAAGAACGAGAUCGAAACAUUUGUGGGAAAAUUAAUGGAGCUGGAGAUCAUUACGCUAGAGAAAUAAAAGCCCAGAAGAUAUCACAUUAUCUCUCACAGGCAGAAUCUAGAUUUAAAUCUAUUUCUGCAUAUGCACACACGUGUAUAUAUGCAUAUGCACACCCAAAUGUAGGACAAGGACAUAGAAAGACUUCUGUGAGAGAGAAGGGUACUGUGGGAGAGGAAGGAGAGCACUUAGAUCAGGAACAAGUUGGUGACAUUUCAUGAGUGCUGAGUGAGACCUGGAAUCUACUAUUAUCUGGAAUGAGCCUGAAGCAGAUAUUCUGCAUAAAUUUCAAGGGCUGAGCAGCAAUCAUGGAACCCUUUUGCUGGUAUUCUGUCUAAGCUCCACCUCCACGGCUACCUGGCAACAGCCAGGUAUGCUCCACCCCAGAGUUGCCUGGCAACAGCCAGCUGUGCCUGACUAUAAAGGGGGCUGCUUGCCCCCUCCUCUCUCUCUCUUACUUCUCUUGCUCUCUCUUGCUCUUCCUCUUCUCGUUCCCUCUUUGUCCCUGUCCCUUCUCUCCCCAUCCCCCGCCUUCCCCUACAC
ensembl:lncRNA